GGGAAAAAAAAGGGAAUGAGGAGAAAUGGGCGGGAAAAAAACGCUGAGGGAACAACGGAACCACGUGAAAGGAACGGGCGGAAAAACGCGAAAUAAGAGGAAAAAAAAGGAAGAUAUUCCAGAAAAAAGAGGGAAAAUCUAAAAGAAUACAGGGAAACGCGAAGGGAGAGAGAGAAAAAACGCGAAACGUGAGGUAAAAAAUAAAAAAGCACAAAGCAAACCGCGCUGCGCUCCGCCGCCGUUCCGCUCCUCUUCCUCCUCCGCCGCCACCUACGGAAAAACCGCCUUAAAACGCCGAAUUUCGCCCUUUUUCGCCCCAAAUUCUCCCUCCCCCCGUGCCUCUGUGCGGCCCCGCAAAGUCCGGCGGCGAACGGCACCGCUCCGGGUGAAGCCCGCGGCCGCCACGCGAUGCUCUGCGACGCCGCUAAACCCCGCGGCCCGGACUGGCGGCAGCGGGGGGAACGCGGGUCGGGCCCUCUCCCCCUUCUCUUCCCUUCAUUUCCGUUUUUUUUCCCCGUUUUUUCGCGUUUUUUCCCCGUUUUCCCGCUCCUCACCGCCGCUCCCCGGUUCCCCCGCCGAGAUCCGCGCUCUUCGGACGCCGGAAGUGGAGUGAGCACAGCCCGCCUGACGCCGCCUCUUCCGAUUGGUCAAUGGAACAGGGGGGGGUGGGACCAACUUUCGGUUCGGCCCUUCUCAUUGGUUAAAAGUUGGGAACGGGGUGGGAUCAAGCAGCUCUCUCUCCUCACUGGUUAGAGGUCACAGGGGGCGGGAUCACGCGCCCUGUCGUCAAAGCUCAUUGGUGGAAGCCGGGAAGGGGGCGGGACUGACCGCUCUUUCGCCAAGUCUCAUUGGUCGAUGGGCUAUACUGGUUUGUACUGGGAUUGUGGUGGCACAUACUGGGAUCACACUGGGUUAUACUGGGAUCAUACUGGUUUAUACUGGGAUCUCACUGGGUUAUACUGGCUUAUACUGGGAUCAUACUGGUUUAUACUGGGCCAUACUGGGAUCACACUGGGUUAUACUGGGAUCAUACUGGGAUCAUACUGGGAUCAUACUGGUUUAUACUGGGAUCAUACUGGGUUAUACUGGGAUCACACUGGUUUCUACUGGUUUAUACUGGGCCAUAGUGGGAUCACACUGGGAUCAUACUGGUUUCUACUGGGAUCAUACUGGGAUCACACUGGUUUAUAUUGGGAUCAUACUGGGAUCACACUGGUUUCUACUGGUUUAUACUGGGAUCAUACUGGGAUCAUACUGGUUUCUACUGGUUUAUACUGGGAUCAUACUGGGAUCAUACUGGUUUCUACUGGGAUCACACUGGUUUAUACUGGUUUCUACUGGGAUCAUACUGGGAUCACACUGGUUUAUACUGGGCUAUACUGGGAUCACAGAGCUUUAUACUGGCUUAUACUGGAAUCAUACUGGUUUAUACUGGCUUAUACUGGGAUCAUACUGGUUUAUACUGGGAUCACACUGCUUUAUACUGGCUUAUACUGGGAUGAUACUGGUUCAUACUGGGAUCACCCAGCUUUAUACUGGCUCAUACUGGGAUCACACUGGUUUAUACUGGGAUCACACUGCUUUAUACUCCCUUAUACUGGGGACAUACUGGUUUAUACUGGGAUCACACUGGCUUAUACUGGGAUCAUACUGGUUUUUACUGGAUCACAGAGCUUUAUACUGGCUUAUACUGGGAUCAUACUGGUUUAUACUGGGAUCUCACUGGCUUAUACUGGCUUAUACUGGGAUCAUACUGGUUUAUACUGGGAUCACACAGCUUUAUACUGGUUUAUACUGGGAUCAUACUGGUUUGUACUGGGUUAUACUGGUUUAUACUGGUUUAUACUGGGACCUCACUGCUUUAUACUGGCUCAUACUGGGAUCAUACUGGUUUAUACUGGGAUCUCAGUGCUUUAUACUGGCUCAUACUGGGAUCACACUGGUUUAUACUGGCUCAUACCGGGAUCAUACUGGUUUAUACUGGGAU
ensembl:lncRNA